rnacentral:rRNA from 1 species
CCUACGGGAGGCAGCAGUGAGGAAUAUUGGUCAAUGGUCGGAAUCCUGAACCAGCCAUGCCGCGUGCAGGACGACGGCUCUACGAGUUGUAAACUGCUUUUGUACCGGGGUAAAAUGUCUUACGUGUAGGGUUUUGAAAGUACGGUACGAAUAAGGAUCGGCUAACUCCGUGCCAGCAGCCGCGGUAAUACGGAGGAUCCGAGCGUUAUCCGGAUUUAUUGGGUUUAAAGGGUGCGUAGGUUGUUUUAUAAGUUAGCGGUGAAAUACCGAGGCUCAACCUCGGGGCUGCCGUUGAUAAUGGAAGACUAGAGUUCGGAUGAAGUAGGCGGAAUGUGUAGUGUAGCGGUGAAAUGCAUAGAUAUCACGCAGAACACCGAUUGCGAAGGCAGCUUGCUAGGCCGGAACUGACACUGAGGCACGAAAGCGUGGGUAUCGAACAGGAUUAGAUACCCGGGUAGUC